GCAGUGCCCUUGGGGCGUCUCCACUAUGGCCUGGGCUCUGUUCCUCAUCACCCUCCUCACUCAGGGUACAGGGUCCUGGGGCCAGUCUGCCCUGAUUCAGCCUUCUUCGGUGUCCGUGGCUCUAGGACAGUCGGUCACCAUCUCCUGUGCUGGAAGCAGCAGUGACAUUGGGUAUUAUAACUCUAUUUCCUGGUACCAACAGCACCCAGGCACAACCCCAAAGCUGCUGAUUUACUAUACCAAUAAGAAGCACUCAGGGAUCCCUGAUCGCUUCUCUGGCUCCAAGUCUGGGAACACGGCCUCCCUGACCAUCUCUGGGCUCCAGGCUGAGGAUGAGGCUGAGUAUUACUGUUGUUCAUAUGCAAGCAGUGGCAAUUUACACAGUGGUCCAAGUUCAUGGGGAAGUGAGACCAAAACCUGCCCUCUGCUUGCAGGCUCCCUCCUUGCUCUGGAGAUGCUUUCCUGA